rnacentral:tRNA from 1 species
CGGGGAGUAGUUCAGUUGGCUAGAACGCCCGGUUUGGGACCGGGAGGUCGCAGGUUCAAGUCCUGUCUCCCCGA